rnacentral:rRNA from 1 species
GACGAACGCUGGCGGCGUGCUUAACACAUGCAAGUCGAACGGAAAGGCCCUGCUUUUGUGGGGUGCUCGAGUGGCGAACGGGUGAGUAAAACGUGAGUAACCUGCCCUUGCCUUUGGGAUAACUUCAGGAACCGGGGGCUAUAACCGGAUAGGAGCUCCUGCGGCAUGGUGGGGGUUGGAAAGUUUCGGCGGUUGGGGAUGGACUCGCGGCUUAUCAGCUUGUUGGUGGGGUAGUGGCUUACCAAGGCUUUGACGGGUAGCCGGCCUGAGAGGGUGACCGGCCACAUUGGGACUGAGAUACGGCCCAGACUCCUACGGGAGGCAGCAGUGGGGAAUAUUGCACAAUGGGCGGAAGCCUGAUGCAGCAACGCCGCGUGCGGGAUGACGGCCUUCGGGUUGUAAACCGCUUUCGCCUGUGACGAAGCGUGAGUGACGGUAAUGGGUAAAGAAGCACCGGCUAACUACGUG